UUGAGAAGCUGUGUUUUCUGUUUGUACCUUUUAUUUUCACCUGGUCUUUACUUGGUUCAAUCGGAGGAUUGAAUCGAGGGUAUUGAGGUUGGUUGGUGAGCCGAGUGUAAAACCAACGUGUGUAAGGGUUCGAUUGUGAUCCCGGGAAAACAAUCGGGGCGGUUCUAGUCGGUGAGCCAGGGAAAAUCGAUCGAGUUCGUUGUGAGCUCGUAAAACAACAAGUUUGGUUGUGAGCUUGGAAAACAACCAGCUGUAAUCCAAGGGAUUAUAGUGAAUUCCCAAGUGAGACUUGGGGAGUGGACGUAGGAGCAAGGGUUAGCUCCGAACCACUAUAAAACUUGGUGUUUGUGAUUGAUUGUCUCUCUUUCUCUUACUCUCAUAUCACUCACAGCACAUAGCAAUUAAUUAAACAACUUGCAAUAGUUUUAAUUAGUCAUCCACAACGUUUUAAAUAGCUAAAUUAUUUUAAAACCCAAUUCACCCCCCCCCCCC
rnacentral:lncRNA from 1 species